rnacentral:rRNA from 1 species
GUAGUAUAGAGGACUACCAUGGUGGUAACGGGUAACGGAGAAUCAGGGUUUGAUUCCGGAGAAGGAGCCUGAGAAACGGCUACUACUUCCAAGGAAGGCAGCAGGCGCGCAAAUUACCCAAUCCCGACACGGGGAGGUAGUGACAAAAAAUAACAAUACCGAUCUAAAUACUAGUUUGGUAAUUGGAAUGAGUACAAUCUAAAACCUUUAACGAGUAUCAAUUGGAGGGCAAGUCUGGUGCCAGCAGCCGCGGUAAUUCCAGCUCCAAUAGCAUAUAUUAAAGUUGUUGCAGUUAAAAAGCUCGUAGUUGGAUUUUGAAGUUUAUAUAUUUUAACCCAUUUUUGUAAAUGCGUAUGUUGAAAUAUAUACUUCUCCUUACUAGUUUUUCAUUAUGUUUCUUUAUUGAUUCAUAAUUUCAUUUCUUUCGGGGAGUGAGUGAUAGUUAGACCUAUUGGGUUGAAGAUGUGGAUAAUCCUUUUUGGUUUGUUCUGCUUUAAUUCAAUAACUAAUUAUUAGAAUACUAGUUCUUUUACUUUGAGUAAAUUAGAGUGUUCAAGGCAAGCAUAAUUUUAAUGUUGUAAUGAAUACUAUUAGCAUGGGAUAAUGGAACAGGACACGUAUUCUAGUUUUCCGUUGGUUUCUAGAAUUUUUUGGUUCUUCUUUUUUGAGGAGAGCCGUAGUGUAAUGAUUAAAAGGGACAGUUGGGGGCAUUCGUAUUUCGAUGUCAGAGGUGAAAUUCUUGGAUUUUCGAAAGACGAACUUCUGCGAAAGCAUUUGUCAAAGAUGUUUUCAUUAAUCAAGAACGAAAGUUAGGGGAUCGAAGACGAUCAGAUACCGUCGUAGUCUUAACCAUAAACUAUGCCGACCAGGGAUUGGAAGAUGUAUUAUCCUAUGUAACAGUAGGAAAACUCCUUCAGUACCUUACGAGAAAUCAUAAGUCUUUGGGUUCUGGGGGGAGUAUGGUCGCAAGGCUGAAACUUAAAGGAAUUGACGGAAGGGCACCACCAGGAGUGGAGCCUGCGGCUUAAUUUGACUCAACACGGGAAAACUUACCAGGUCCAGACACAGUUAGGAUUGACAGAUUGAGAGCUCUGUCUUGAUUCUGUGGGUGGUGGUGCAUGGCCGUUCUUAGUUGGUGGAGUGAUUUGUCUGGUUAAUUCCGAUAACGAACGAGACCUCAGCCUGCUAAUUAGUUGUGCAAAUGAUAACAUUCCAUUUGGAAGGGGGUUUCUUUGUUAGCUUGGAGUUUGACUCUGAGAUUUUAAAGAAAAACUCGUUUUCAUUUGUUAGGAAUUUGAGAGCUUACGUUUGAUGAUUCCGAUAAUGACUUCUUAGAGGGACACUUGGUGUUUAACCAAGGGAAGUUUGAGGCAAUAACAGGUCUGUG